GCUCCAUUCGUCUAGUCAGGUUAGGACACAACCCUCUCAAGGUUGAGACAUCGGUUCAAAUCCGUUAUGGAGUACCA
rnacentral:tRNA from 1 species